rnacentral:tRNA from 1 species
GCGCGGCUAGCUCAGUUGGUUAGAGCGCGUCGCUGAUAACGACGAGGUCACAAGUUCGAAUCUUGUGCCGCGCAC